rnacentral:lncRNA from 1 species
UAAAUUACAAGCACCCGAAAACUAUUUUCCUUAUAUCUCUUAAACCCAAGCUCCAAAUCACACAAAACUUGUAUAGAAAGCUUUAUAACAAGAUUACACUCAAUCUUGAAAAUUUUGAGCUAAAUCCUCAUCAAAUUGUCUAAGAUAUAGCUCAAAUCACAAGCACAAGUAAUUCGGGCUACUUACUACCCUUAGAUAUCAAGCGCUGACUUCAACUGCCAAUAUCUCCUUCAUAAAAGCUUGGAAUUCGAUAAACAGUAUGCACAAACUGUAGCCGAAAAAGUAUUCUCUUCAAAUCCGGUCGCCGAUCCUCGUUUUCCGUCCGUACGCGUGCGGUAUGCUCAAAAGAGUGACAGUACGUCGAAAACUUACACCUUAACUUUGAGCGCCUAUAACUUCUUCAUAUGAACCCCAAAUGACACAAAUUUUGCACCAAAACUAUAUCAAAAACCUAAACCUUUUGACCCUAGCCUCAAAAACUCGAAUGGCCUCGAGAAACUAACCCUAAUCCCUAAUAUG